AAGUCGUAACAAGGUUUCCGUAGGUGAACCUGCGGAAGGAUCAUUAUUGAUAUCGCGACCCGCAAGGGACGCUUCAUUUCCGUGCUCCCCGCAUCGUCGGGGGGCUCGGACAAACCAUUUGUGCACCGUAAUUGUUGCUUCGCCGAUCGCCACAGGUCAUCAUUAAAUCGGAAUUUUUUUAAUUACGAAUUUUUGUUGAACUGGUUCGCGGCGGAUUUCCUCCUUCGCGGUGGAUUCCGAAGGCGGGCAGCGCGUCGGCGAAGCUUUACUUGACGCAAACUUGCUUGAAAAUCGGCUUGAAACGCUCCGCGAAGCGCGGAAGCAACUAUUUUUUAAAUAAUAAAACAACUUUUAACAACGGAUCUCUUGGCUCUC
rnacentral:misc_RNA from 1 species